UUAUGCGCACGCGCACCUAGGCGGCUAUGGAGGGUAGUCGGUGGUGCCGGUACAUCCGUGCAAGAACGUUUGAUUUCUGGUCCAUUGUUGAGCAUCCGGCUGAAUGGAUGAAAAGGCAAGAAAACACCACCACUGCUACAUUCUCAAUUUACCUUUAUAAUAGGGCAUUAAGCCCAGGAAAGCCUGCCGGACUUUCUCUCCUUUCAGGGGCUGGAGCUCUUCUAGACUGUCUAGCAAUGGGCCAAUGGAAUAAUACUGAGCUUCCUUGUAAACAGACCUCACUCGUUCUCUUGGAGUUACUCUAACAUCUUCUUGCAACCUGGAUGUCACUUGACCAGCUAGCAAUCCUUGGCAUUCUAUGGUAUUUUCUGUGCUCCUCACCCUGAAGGAAACACAAGAAGGGGGAAGAAACACAUGGACUGAACUGUCUUCAGGAUACAAAAUUAUCCUACUUGUUCAAGUACUUUGUGAAAAAAAUAGCAUAUAGUCAAAAAAUAUGUACCCAAAGA